UGGAAAUGGCCGGAAACACGGAGGCGUUGGGAUGAGGACGCAGGAAGGCGGCGCAGUGCAUGCGCGUUGCCUUCCUUCCUUCCAGACUGUCCUGAGUCUUCCUGGGCAGCUCCUGGGAAAGCACCGGCAGCCAGUGCCCUGUGGACCCUAGACAGGACUGUGGUUUCGGCAGGACUGCUUUCUGGAAAAGCAGUGUGUAAAUCCAGUCUCCUUCAGAGUGGCGGCCAGGCUCCUGCAGGGAUGUGAAGUGAUGCCUCUCAUUUCAGAGGAUUGAUUCCGAAGAACACGGCCUUGCCACGCCUUCCUCCUGCCUCUGGUCACAAAGGCCCCGUCACCACAAACCUGCAGGGCUAAGGGCUCCUCGGGCCUGCCCACUCCCUGUCUAGGCACUGAUCUAGGAGGCAGACCUCUGACAGAGAGGAACAGAGAGCGGCAUCACCUCAAAAUGGCAGAAAAUCUGCUCCGUGCUUAGGGAGCAGCUUGGCACACAGUGACUUAGAAGACCUCGUUUUGCUUGCAAUGUCGACAUCAUGCUUUGGGGACGGUGGGGACAAGUGGGCACAGUUCCAUGAGGGUACCACAUCUUGCCCAUUUCUUGUUUAUGAAAUGGUAUUUUGUAAUCAGCAUCUUGCAGGACACGUAAAAGGCCCUUGGAAGCUGACAGCAAGCUUACAUAACUGUUAUGCUACAAGCAGCUGGAUCUGAGAUUUUGGGACACAGAUGGCACAUGUGACAAAGCAGCAGCAUAAUUGUACACACGACUCUGAGUCAGGGGUUCUCAGCACUAUUCGUGCUGGGGUUGGAUGCUGGGGGCUGGUCCCAGUCAUUGGUAGCAUGUCGGGCCUUGGACCCACUAAAGACCAGUAGCACCCCACCCUCCUUCUGGCAACCCAAAAUGUCUCCAGUCAUCGGCAAAUGUGCUCUGGCGAGCAGUGGAGAAGGAAGGUCCUACCACCUGCUCCCCAUUCAGCACUUUCCUCGCUGGGUCUCUUCUGUCUGCAGAUUGCGGAAAGCUCUUCCACAUCCCCUCAUCUGGGUAAAAAUCGCUAAGGAUAGACAUUGGCCAAUGCCAGGCCAGUCACUCACUGAUGUGGGUGGACACACGACACUGCCUCAAGAUGCUGGGCUGACACCGUCGUCGUCUAGGGGGUGGGUGACAGUCGUUUCUGAAGGAAAUCCUGGGGCCCCUUUCCCUUUGACGCUGAAAGUUGUUCAAAAGGACCAGGAGGGCAGUUCUUGGUUGCAACAGGUUUAAAUGUAUUCACCUGACACGUAACAGAUUUCCUACAGCUGGCCUCACACCAGGUGCUCUCUGUGCGCUCCCUCAUUCUGUCCUCAUGAACUAGAAGAAGCCGUUACUAUUGCGUUGCAGACAGAACAGACUCAGGUUAAGGGAAUCUCUAGGUACGUGUCAACACUAAACACGUAACAAACUCACUGUCCAGCCCUACCGCCCAGGACGCCUCGCUCCCAUACGCCUCAACCUCAUCAUCUGUCUCACUGAAAAGCAAGCCCACCUUCCACUGCAUCACCCAGCUGUCACCCAACUUGGAUUCAGUGCCAGGUCCACCACCAAACCGUUACCCUCUCUGAGUCUCUCUCUUGUUUUCAUCUGUGAAACUGGAAACAUAACCCUUUCCAUAGCAAAAAAGUGGAUGAGAUCUAAUGAAGAAAAGUGAGUUCCCUGAAUAGUACGAAGCGGACCUGACCAAACGGAGCAGCCUGCUGUAUUUCUGAAUGAGACGACUCACCAGGAGACAGAGAAAGAUGAAUCCCUGAAUCCACAAAAUCCCCGCAUUCCAGUGCAAUCAUGAACAACAUUGUUUUGUGAGGCAGCAUGAGUGGAUUGGAAGAUUUGUGUGAAAUUUGAAAGGCUCAUGGUAAAGAAAACAUAGGGGCAAAGGGAUACUUGCCCUACCAGACGUCAAGAAAUUAAAACGUUACA